rnacentral:sRNA from 1 species
AUUCCAUGAACAUGCCAAUUGUCAUUAGGAAGUUUCGCCAGCCGGGAUAAGCGAACAUCUGCCAUUGACAAAUGACACGAUUUACAUUAUAGUUGAUGCAAUUUUUCAACAUGCCAGACCACGCCAGGACGAACCAUCAUGUCAGCAGUGGACACAGCAGGAGGUCCUUCCAACAGGCAAACAAAUGACGCGCCUGCACGCCGACUCCGACUAUGAUGAUGAUGAUGAUGAUUGCGAGGAUGCGGAUAAAGAAAAGAUGUGAAGGAUAUUUGUCCUGUGGGACUAGCACGUGUGUGUUUGUGCAUCUUAAGCGGCAGCCUCGCCGGAAACGGAAGUCAUUUGGCUCUGUUCAUGUCGCUUCGUUUGCCGCUAGAUGGCGCCAAGUUUUAUAGCGAAUGCAAAUAGAAACGCAUACACACUUUAACACACACACACACACUGUGACUAUAUCGUAAUUCUUUAUUUACGGCAUCUUUUUUCUUAACGGAGAAUCCCUAGCCGGAGAAUCCCCUGGUUUCCGUGCUUUUUCUUGUUUUUAAUUUUCACUACGCCGGAAAACUGUUGCAGUUCCCAGCUGCAGCGGAAGUGUUGAAUUUCUUAUGCAACUUGCAAACGUCAAACGGAUGGAGAGAAAGCUUCGUCCUCGCUCCUUUGUCCUUGGUCCUUGGUCUCCAGCUCUUCCUCCUUCCUCCUGCCUCCUGUAUCCUGUACCCUGUGCAUCCUUCGUCCUUUUCACAACGCCAUUUGUUAUUCGAUAAUUUCGUUUUGUUAUGCUGCUGCAUUUUUCGCAUCAUUUUCGCGUCGCAUUUGCAGUAAACUUGCUGCAAAUGUUGAUCCUUUACCGUUGCUCUGGCUGCUCCAGCUCUCCCUCCAAACAGAAACGUAAUUGACAUAAUUUGCGAACUGUUCUCUCCCGAGCACGUCUCAUAAUAUAUUCAAACCAAUUUCAAACUAAGCCAACUUGCUCCGAAACUCAAUUUUUAAGGAGAAACUCAACUUUUUUUUCGAGUCUGCAUUCACAGACAUUUCCCAUUAGCCUUAUUCCACCCCAGACACGAUUUAUAUUUAUUCUAUGGGACUAUGGAAAUUCGGUGACAACGGGGCCUUUUCAACGUCCACUGUUUUCUCAUCUCAUUGCCACUCAACUUGGCACACACAAGUCGAUAAAGACGUCGGAAAUGUCAACAUGAUGACAACAAAUUUGUAAAAAAAAAAAACUUGAUUUAUUUGGCCCCAUCAACAAAAAACAACAACAUCCAAAUGAAAUGCUCCAAGAGGUCCACGAGGGGAGGUCAUGCUGAGCUAAUGGCAAGCUGGCUGAUGUCCUUACGCCCCCAUCUCCUGCCACGCCCCUUUGCCAUUCAAUGAUCUCUCGCACCGUCAGAAACACGAAAUGGGUUAGGUGACAAGUCGGUUGGCUGGGACGACGGACGAAGGACGAACAGCGAAGGAUGGGAGGAGCUUGCGGCUGCUGCCACACAAUCUGCCAUAUCACUGACAGUUUUAUCGACUUAACAAAACUAACUGCCAUUAGUUUCACUUUGGCUGGUAGUGCCGCUGAAAAGCAACGACAUUUACGCCCCCGCGUCCCAAGGAUGCAAAAGGGAAACUCCGUUCGGGUUACAGGACCAAGACAAAGGCAAAAUAAACACUGAAAAAACGAAAUGCCAAAACAGCAGAAGGAGGCAGUAGGAGCAGCCAUUACAAAAACAACAGUAACAACGUCAACAACAAUGGUCGACAAGGAAGAUAAGAAAAAUAAGGACAUGGGUCGAAGCCAGGGAUGGUGUAUGAUGGUGUGGAUAUAUCCAUGGGUGGUGAUUGCACACCGCCCCCCCUGUCUGCUCCUGGCAGACGUUGAAAAAUCACUUUAGCAUGACCCCAAAAUGUCUAUUUCAUUAAUACAAAUAAACCCGGAAAGGAGAGCAAAGAAACGGCAGAGCCAGUGGUAGUGGUAGUGGCAGGACCAAAAGCAAAACCAAACCGAACCAAAAACUGCCGCCCCAAUAGCGGAAAGGCCAAAACAAAUCGUUUCUGCCCGCUGCAAGGACAUUUCGACAAAUUAAAAUGAACAUGAAAAGCGGCAGCAGAUAAAAACCAAAUGGCCCGGGUCCUUCCAAAAAAAAAAAUCCUCCUGACCACCUCGUGUCCUGUUUCUUGCACGUCUUUGGCUAUUGGCAUUAAAAUUUGUCAUUCUCCAAGAGAGUCCUUUGGGAUUUUCUUGGAGUUUGGUGCUUAAAAAAGAGUAUAUUUAAAAGUUUACUACUCAAGUAAAAAAUAACCCUAACUUUCUGUUUAAUAGUCCUUAAAAUAAACCCAAUAAAGAGCA